ACACGACUACAUUAGAUACCCCGGUAGUCCCAGCCGUAAACUAUGCUCGCUAGGUGUCAGGGACGGUGCGACCGUUUCUGGUGCCGCAGGGAAGCCGUGAAGCGAGCCACCUGGGAAGUACGGUCGCAAGGCUGAAACUUAAAGGAAUUGGCGGGGGAGCACUACAACGGGUGGAGCCUGCGGUUUAAUUGGAUUCAACGCCGGAAAUCUUACCGGGACCGACAGCAACAUGAAGGCCAAGCUGAAGACUUUGCCGGAUUAGCUG
rnacentral:rRNA from 1 species